rnacentral:rRNA from 1 species
ACCAAGGCGACGACGGGUAGCCGGCCUGAGAGGGCGACCGGCCACACUGGGACUGAGACACGGCCCAGACUCCUACGGGAGGCAGCAGUGGGGAAUAUUGCGCAAUGGGCGAAAGCCUGACGCAGCGACGCCGCGUGGGGGAUGAAGGCCUUCGGGUUGUAAACCCCUUUCAGCAGGGACGAAGCGAGAGUGACGGUACCUGCAGAAGAAGCGCCGGCUAACUACGUGCCAGCAGCCGCGGUAACACGUAGGGCGCAAGCGUUGUCCGGAAUUAUUGGGCGUAAAGAGCUCGUAGGCGGUCUGUUACGUCUGCUGUGAAAACCCGGGGCUUAACCCCUGGCUUGCAGUGGAUACGGGCAGACUAGAGGUAGGUAGGGGAGAAUGGAAUUCCCGGUGUAGCGGUGAAAUGCGCAGAUAUCGGGAGGAACACCGGUGGCGAAGGCGGUUCUCUGGGCCUUACCUGACGCUGAGGAGCGGAAGCGUGGGGAGCGAACAGGAUUAGAUACCCUGGUAGUCCACGCUGUAAACGUUGGGCGCUAGGUGUGGGGUCCUUCCACGGAUUCCGUGCCGCAGCUAACGCAUUAAGCGCCCCGCCUGGGGAGUACGGCCGCAAGGCUAA